GACGAACGCUGGCGGCGUGCUUAACACAUGCAAGUCGAACGGAAAGGCUCUGCUUUCGUGGGGUGCUCGAGUGGCGAACGGGUGUGUAACACGUGAGUAAUCUGCCCUUGACUUUGGGAUAACUUCAGGAAACUGGGGCUAAUACCGGAUAGGAGCUCCUGCUGCAUGGGGGGGGUUGGAAAGUUUCGGCGGUUGGGGUAGGACUCGCGGCUUAUCAGCUUGUUGGUGGGGUAGUGGCUUACCAAGGCUUUGACGGGUAGCCGGUCGGAGUGGGUGACCGGCCACACUGGGACUGUGAUACGGCCCAGACGGCUACGGGAGGCAGCGGUGGGGAAUGUUGCACGAUGGGCGGAAGCCUGAUGCAGCAACGCCGGGUGCGGGAUGACGGCCUUCUGGUUGUAAACCGCGUGCGCCUGUGACGAAGCGUGAGGGACGUUAGUGAGUAAAGAAGCACCGGCUGACUACGUG
rnacentral:rRNA from 1 species